rnacentral:lncRNA from 1 species
GUAAACGUUGCGAGAAUCGAUGGGGCGAUUAAGAUCUAAUCUCGUCGCUCUCGUUCUUGUUCUUCCUCCUCUUCUUCUUCUUAUGCAUUGCUCACUUGUUCUCUCCAUUUCCUGCUGUAUAUAUAUAAACUCUACAGUCUCUCUAUCUCUCUCAAUUGACCUCGUAUAUGUUAUUCGAAGAAGUUCUAAUAAUUUUUUCUGUGUGCGUAAUUUUUACCAGCGAUUUCGAGAAAAACGAUCUCUCGCCUUGAAGACGGCGGCUACGGAUGUCGGAACCAACGCGACCCGCCGUAUGUUACUCCCGGGAAAGCGAAUGGUGAAGGCUCGAGGAUAGGCGUCUCCCCGCCGGCUCCGGGGCUAGGGCGGUCGACGUAUUACGCGUCGAACGCUCCCCCUCCAAGUAAAAUUUGAAGACUAAAACAUGCAUGAUCAGUAGCUGUUUCUUUUCCAAUUCAUGUCGAGUAAUGAAAAAAGAAAAAAAACUAUCUUAUAUAUCUAGCUCUGGUCUCUUUAUUUGCAUUGUGUUAGCUAUUUCGUACGUGCAUGCAUGUUGGUGACUAGAAAUUCUCGGGCUCAUUGUGUUUUGGUUGUAUUUCUCUUUAUAUAUGUGCAAGGGAG